rnacentral:rRNA from 1 species
UUCAACGUGAGAGUUUGAUCCUGGCUCAGAGCGAACGCUGGCGGCAGGCUUAACACAUGCAAGUCGAGCGGGCACUUUCGGGUGUCAGCGGCGGACGGGUGAGUAACGCGUGGGAACGUGCCCUCUGGUUCGGAAUAACUCAGGGAAACUUGAGCUAAUACCGGAUACGCCCUUUUGGGGAAAGGCUUGCUGCCGGAGGAUCGGCCCGCGUCUGAUUAGCUAGUUGGUGAGGUAACGGCUCACCAAGGCGACGAUCAGUAGCUGGUCUGAGAGGAUGAUCAGCCACACUGGGACUGAGACACGGCCCAGACUCCUACGGGAG